GCUCCUUUAGCUCAGUUGGUAGAGCGUCAGUCUCAUAAGGCUACUUCAAGUUAUCUGAAGGUCGAGAGUUCGAACCUCCCAGGGAGCA
rnacentral:tRNA from 1 species